GGUGAAAGGCUUGCUGCCUGAAGAAGAGCUUGCGUCUGAUUAGCUAGUUGGUGGGGUAAGAGCCUACCAAGGCGACGAUCAGUAGCUGGUCUGAGAGGAUGAUCAGCCACACUGGGACUGAGACACGGCCCAGACUCCUACGGGAGGCAGCAGUGGGGAAUUUUCCGCAAUGGGCGAAAGCCUGACGGAGCAAUACCGCGUGAGGGAGGAAGGCUCUUGGGUUGUAAACCUCUUUUCUCAGGGAAGAACAGAAUGACGGUACCUGAGGAAUAAGCAUCGGCUAACUCCGUGCCAGCAGCCGCGGUAAUACGGAGGAUGCAAGCGUUAUCCGGAAUGAUUGGGCGUAAAGGGUCCGCAGGUGGCAUAGUAAGUCUGCUGUUAAAGAGUCACGCUCAACGUGAUAAGAGCAGUGGAAACUACAAAGCUAGAGUAUGGUCGGGGCAGAGGGAAUUCCUGGUGUAGCGGUGAAAUGCGUAGAUAUCAGGAAGAACACCGGUGG
rnacentral:rRNA from 1 species